GACUCAUACGCAUGGCAGAAAGCUGUUGAGACUGGACAGCUGAACAUAGAGCCUAACAGAUAUCUCUACAAAGGACCAUACCAUGCCUCUCUAGGGAUUUACCUCCUGAGAAUGACUAGACUACUACGUGGCCUGGGGAGACUUGAAGAAGCUAGAAAAUAUCUCACAGAGACAAAGAAUGUUUUGGAGGUAACGCAUGGCCCAAAGCAUUCACUGAUGUUAGAAGUGCAAGAACUGUUCUUGUUACUGUAAACGCUAAAGACACAAGGACAGAGCAACAGAGAGAAAGAUUGAACGGAAACAACAAGAGACUUAAGUGAAUGAACAUGAAUACAAGAAUUUCUCUGUAGCAGUAGAUGACACUGGAAAUACUAAAGAUGGAAGGACAGAGUGACAUUGAGAUCGAGUGAGGUCGAAAGGAAACAACAAGAUACAUAACAAGUUUGAGAAGCUGGCAAACAGUCAAAUCGAAAUGUAGUCAUUGUAGUUUGUACAUCUAGAAAUUUGAACACCAGGGCCCUGUUCUAUAUAAAACUUGUUUUUAAUAUCAUGUUACAAUCAUUGUUAUAAUCAAUCUCUA